AAUCAUUUUUAGAAAUUAGAAAUUAAAAGAGAAAUAAUGGACUUGGUCUCACAUUUUUUGGAGUUAAAAUGAAUGAGAUAUGAUUUUUUGAAAUGAAAUGGAAUAAAAGAAAUAAAAUGAAAAUUAAAUCGGAAAUAAAAAAUAGGAAAAAACGUGGUACGUUGGAUCCAGGCUCAUUAAUUGAGCUGUCACAUCAGACAGUCCACAUG
rnacentral:lncRNA from 1 species